UUGCGGCUAUAUCACAUUGAAACACCUGUUCUCCUCCGAUCACCGAAGUUCAGCAAUGUCGAGCCUGGCCAGUACCUAGAUGGGCGACCGCUUGGGAAUACCAGGUGCCAUA